GCCGAGGUCGCCUAGCCUGGUAGGGCGCGGGCCUUGAAAGCCUGUGUUCGCAAGAACGCGGGGGUUCAAAUCCCUCUCUCGGCG
rnacentral:tRNA from 3 species